CCUACGGGUGGCAGCAGUGAGGAAUAUUGGUCAAUGGGCGGAAGCCUGAACCAGCCAAGUAGCGUGCAGGAUGACGGCCCUACGGGUUGUAAACUGCUUUUAUGCGGGGAUAAAGUGAGGGACGCGUCCCUUUUUGCAGGUACCGCAUGAAUAAGGACCGGCUAAUUCCGUGCCAGCAGCCGCGGUAAUACGGAAGGUCCGGGCGUUAUCCGGAUUUAUUGGGUUUAAAGGGAGCGUAGGCCGGGGAUUAAGUGUGUUGUGAAAUGUAGGCGCCCAACGUCUGACUUGCAGCGCAUACUGGUUCCCUUGAGUACGCGCAACGCCGGCGGAAUUCGUCGUGUAGCGGUGAAAUGCUUAGAUAUGACGAAGAACCCCGAUUGCGAAGGCAGCCGGCGGGAGCGCAACUGACGCUGAAGCUCGAAGGUGCGGGUAUCGAACAGGAUUAGAUACCCCAGUAGUC
rnacentral:rRNA from 1 species